rnacentral:rRNA from 1 species
UCCGGUGGCCGCAGAGAAUAGGCCCAAGCGACUGUUUACCAAAAACAUAGGUUUCUGCUAAGUCGCAAGACGAUGUAUAGGAGCUGACGCCUGCCCGGUGCUGGAAGGUUAAGGGGAUCUGUUAGAGCAAUCGAAGCAGUGAACUUAAGCCCCAGUAAACGGCGGCCGUAACUAUAACGGUCCUAAGGUAGCGAAAUUCCUUGUCGGGUAAGUUCCGACCCGCACGAAAGGCGUAACGAUUUGGGCACUGUCUCA